AAUAAUUUGCUGCGAGUUAAACCCUGUGACCCUGAGAAGCCACGCCCGCCCAACCUUCUUUCUUUCUUCUCUUCUUCUCUGAAACCCAGCCCAGUCCGCAGACCUCCACACCAACCUUUCGUCCGUCCGUCCGUUCCUACCGCCGGCGACCACCGUCGCUAACCCUCCCUCCUCCCUUCUUCCUUUUCUUUCUUCCCUAUUUCUCCAUUUCUUUCCUCCUGUACGCAACACCCCUGUUCGUGGCGCCACCUCUGUCUGCACCUUCCAGUUCCGGUGAAAACCACCAGCGGUGGCGAAACUCUGUGCCGCUACGACACUACCUCCGCUCCUUACGCUAUCUUCUUUUUUCACUCCUCAACGCAGUUGUUGAACAUAAAUGAUCAUAUACUCUUCCGACACCCUUGAACCGAAGCACAAGCAGUCACCAAGAAACGUGGAAUGGUAAGUAUUGUAUUCCAUUCAUUACGAUUAAUCACAUGAAACCUUACCAGUUACCAAUUAUGAACGCGAGUGUGAUUCAGAAGAGAGACGAGAGGAUGUUUCGGUUGAGUAAGAACAAGGCUUCUUCGAAAUCUGCAGCUGAUACAAGAUUUGAGUUCUGAUUCUCUCAUUUUAAGGCUCUUCAGGUACCCAAGGGAUGGGAAGCUGCUUGUUUCUGUUGUUUCGGUAGAAAGUGGUAAAGCUAUUGCAAAGUCAAGCAAGGUGCUGGUGCAAAAUGGGAGUUGUCAGUGGUCAGAUUCUUUUUCAGAAUUUGUAUUGUUUCCAGGAGAUAAUUCUUCCAAGGAGAUUGAUGAAUGUCUCCUCAAGCUUAUUGUUGCCAUGGGACCAUGAAGAUCUAGUAUCCUUGGAGAGGUCACUGUUAAUAUGGCAAGUUAUGUGAGUUCAAAUGCUGAAUCUCCACUUUCACUCAAGCUGGGUAAAUGGCAACCAUGGGACAGUUUUACAUGUCAGAUAUACAAAUAAAGUUGUCUUACUUUUAUUGAGUGCAGAAACCUGGAUGGUUGUGUUACUGUGGUUGGUUACGCUCGGAUUUAAUUGUAGUCAAGUUUGGGAGAAAAGUAACAUUGGAAAUCUGGAAUAUAUUGCUGAGUAUUGAAUGUA